GUUCACUUUAACACUGAGGCGUGAUGACGAGGCACUACGGUGCUGAAGCAACAAAUGCCCUGCUUCCAGGAAAAGCCUCUAAGCAUCAGGUAACAUCAAAUCGUACCCCAAACCGACACAGGUGGUCAGGUAGAGAAUACCAAGGCGCUUGAGAGAACUCGGGUGAAGGAACUAGGCAAAAUGGUGCCGUAACUUCGGGAGAAGGCACGCUGACACGUAGGUGAAGUGAUUUACUCAUGGAGCUGAAGUCAGUCGAAGAUACCAGCUGGCUGCAACUGUUUAUUAAAAACACA
rnacentral:rRNA from 1 species